GUGGGGAAUAUUGGACAAUGGGCGAAAGCCUGAUCCAGCAAUACCGCGUGUGUGAAGAAGGCCUGAGGGUUGUAAAGCACUUUCAAUAGGAAGGAAUACCUAUCGGUUAAUACCCGGUAGACUGACAUUACCUAUACAAGAAGCACCGGCUAACUCCGUGCCAGCAGCCGCGGUAAUACGGAGGGUGCAAGCGUUAAUCGGAAUUACUGGGCGUAAAGCGUGCGUAGGCGGUUGUUUAAGUCAGAUGUGAAAGCCCUGGGCUUAACCUGGGAACUGCAUUUGAUACUGGGCAACUAGAGUUUAGUAGAGGGGAGUGGAAUUUCAGGUGUAGCGGUGAAAUGCGUAGAGAUCUGAAGGAACACCAGUGGCGAAGGCGGCUCCCUGGACUAAAACUGACGCUGAGGUACGAAAGCGUGGGUAGCAAACAGGAUUAGAAACCCUAGUAGUCC
rnacentral:rRNA from 1 species